rnacentral:rRNA from 1 species
AUUGAACGCUGGCGGCAGGCUUAACUCAUGCAAGUCGAGCGGUAACAGAGAGAAGCUUGCUUCUCUGCUGACGAGCGGCGGACGGGUGAGUAAUGCCUAGGAAUCUGCCUAGUAGUGGGGGAUAACUUGCCGAAAGGUAAGCUAAUACCGCAUACGUCCUACGGGAGAAAGGAGGGGACCUUCGGGCCUUUCGCUAUUAGAUGAGCCUAGGUCGGAUUAGUUAGUUGGUGAGGUAAUGGCUCACCAAGACCGCGAUCCGUAACUGGUCUGAGAGGAUGAUCAGUCACACUGGAACUGAGACACGGUCCAGACUCCUACGGGAGGCAGCAGUGGGGAAUAUUGGACAAUGGGGGGGAACCCUGAUCCAGCCAUGCCGCGUGUGUGAAGAAGGUCUUAGGAUUGUAAAGCACUUUAAGUUGGGAGGAAGAGCAGUUAACUAAUAUUUGACUGUUUUGACGUUACCGACAGAAUAAGCACCGGCUAACUUCGUG